rnacentral:rRNA from 1 species
UACGUAGGGGGCAAGCGUUGUCCGGAAUUAUUGGGCGUAAAGCGCGCGCAGGCGGCUUACUAAGUCUGGUGUGAAAGCCCACGGCUCAACCGUGGAGGGCCAUUGGAAACUGGUAGGCUUGAGUGCAGGAGAGGAGAGCGGAAUUCCCGGUGUAGCGGUGGAAUGCGUAGAGAUCCGGAAGAACACCGGUGGCGAAGGCGGCUCGCUGGGCAGUGGCUGACGCUGAGGCGCGACAGCGUGGGGAGCAAACAGG